GCUUUCGUGGUGUAGUGGUCAGCACGCUCGACGCGUAUUCCAAAGGUCCGUGGUUCGAGCCCCGUCGAGGGCA
rfam:Stegodyphus mimosarum contig5571, whole genome shotgun sequence.